rnacentral:rRNA from 1 species
CCGUAGGUGAACCUGCGGAGGGAUCAUUACAGAGUUGCAAAACUCCCACAAACCAUCGCGAAUCUUACCCGUACGGUUGCCUCGGCGCUGGCGGUCCGGAAAGGCCCUCGGGUCCUCCCGGAUCCUCGGGUCUCCCGCUCGCGGGAGGCUGCCCGCCGGAGUGCCGAAACUAAACUCUUGAUAUUUUAUGUCUCUCUGAGUAAACUUUUAAAUAAGUCAAAACUUUCAACAACGGAUCUCUUGGUUCUGGCAUCGAUGAAGAACGCAGCGAAAUGCGAUAAGUAAUGUGAAUUGCAGAAUUCAGUGAAUCAUCGAAUCUUUGAACGCACAUUGCGCUCGCCAGUAUUCUGGCGAGCAUGCCUGUUCGAGCGUCAUUUCAACCAUCAAGCUCUGCUUGCGUUGGGGAUCCGCGGCUGCCCGCGGUCCCUCAAAAUCAGUGGCGGGCUCGCUAGUCACACCGAGCGUAGUAACUCUACAUCGCUAUGGUCGUGCGGCGGGUUCUUGCCGUAAAACCCCCCAUUUCUAAGGUUGACCUCGGAUCAGGUAGGAAUACCCGCUGAACUUAAGCAUAUCAAUAAGCGGAGGA